rnacentral:rRNA from 1 species
CCUACGGGAGGCAGCAGUGGGGAAUUUUGGACAAUGGGCGAAAGCCUGAUCCAGCAAUGCCGCGUGCAGGAUGAAGGCCCUCGGGUUGUAAACUGCUUUUGUACGGAACGAAAAGCCUGGGGCUAAUAUCCCCGGGUCAUGACGGUACCGUAAGAAUAAGCACCGGCUAACUACGUGCCAGCAGCCGCGGUAAUACGUAGGGUGCAAGCGUUAAUCGGAAUUACUGGGCGUAAAGCGUGCGCAGGCGGUUUUGUAAGACAGUGGUGAAAUCCCCGGGCUCAACCUGGGAACUGCCAUUGUGACUGCAAGGCUAGAGUGCGGCAGAGGGGGAUGGAAUUCCGCGUGUAGCAGUGAAAUGCGUAGAUAUGCGGAGGAACACCGAUGGCGAAGGCAAUCCCCUGGGCCUGCACUGACGCUCAUGCACGAAAGCGUGGGGAGCAAACAGGAUUAGAUACCCUGGUAGUCCACGCCCUAAACGAUGUCAACUGGUUGUUGGGUCUUAACUGACUCAGUAACGAAGCUAACGCGUGAAGUUGACCGCCUGGGGAGUACGGCCGCAAGGCUGAAACUCAAAUGAAUUGACGGGG